rnacentral:rRNA from 1 species
UGUUCUUUGNAUAUAAGGUNAGGGAUANGGCCUGCCCAGUGAGAUGACUUAAACGGCCGCGAUAUUUUAAUCGUGCUAAGGUAGCAUAAUCAAUUGUCUAUUAAUUGUAGACUGGAAUGAAUGGUUGGACUAGAAAUCAAUUGUUUUAAAUUUAAGGUAAAAUUUUUAUUUUCAUGAAGAAAUGGAAGUGNGGUAAAAAGACGAGAAGACCCUAUUGAGCUUAAUAUUAAAUAAAAGGGAGANGNGUAGGAGAUGUAACUUUUGNUAAGUAUUUAACUGGGGCGGUGAAGCUUAAAUUUAAACAGGCUAGGAAAAAUUUACUUAAUGAGUAAGUAAGGAUCCACAAGAAGUGAUUAAAAGGCUAAGUUACCAUAGGGAUAACAGCGUAAUUUUAUUUUGAAGUUCAAAUUUAUGNUAAAGUUUGCGACCUCGAUGUUGGUUUAGGUUACCUAAUUAGUGCAUCAGCUAAUAGAGGCAGUCUGUUCGACUGUUAAAUACUUAUA